GAUGAACGCUGGCGGCGUGCCUAACACAUGCAAGUCGAGCGAUUUACUUCGGUAAAGAGCGGCGGACGGGUGAGUAACGCGUGGGUAACCUGCCUCAUACACAUGGAUAACAUACCGAAAGGUAUGCUAAUACAGGAUAAUAUAAGAGAUUCACAUGGAUUUUUUAUCAAAGCUCCGGCGGUAUGAGAUGGACCCGCGUCUGAUUAGCUAGUUGGUAAGGUAAUGGCUUACCAAGGCGACGAUCAGUAGCCGACCUGAGAGGGUGAUCGGCCACAUUGGAACUGAGACACGGUCCAAACUCCUACGGGAGGCAGCAGUGGGGAAUAUUGCACAAUGGGCGAAAGCCUGAUGCAGCAACGCCGCGUGAGUGAUGAAGGCCUUCGGGUCGUAAAACUCUGUCCUCAAGGAAGAUAAUGACGGUACUUGAGGAGGAAGCCCCGGCUAACUACGUGCCAGCAGCCGCGGUAAUACGUAGGGGGCUAGCGUUAUCCGGAUUUACUGGGCGUAAAGGGUGCGUAGGUGGUUUUUUAAGUCAGGAGUGAAAGGCUACGGCUCAACCGUAGUAAGCUCUUGAAACUGGAAAACUUGAGUGCAGGAGAGGAAAGUGGAAUUCCUAGUGUAGCGGUGAAAUGCGUAGAUAUUAGGAGGAACACCAGUAGCGAAGGCGGCUUUCUGGACUGUAACUGACACUGAGGCACGAAAGCGUGGGGAGCAAACAGGAUUAGAUACCCUGGUAGUCCACGCCGUAAACGAUGAGUACUAGGUGUCGGGGGUUACCCCCCUCGGUGCCGCAGCUAACGCAUUAAGUACUCCGCCUGGGGAGUACGCUCGCAAGAGUGA
rnacentral:rRNA from 1 species